CGGGCCUGCCGGGAAACCGGAAGCCCUUCCGGGCCGCCGGCGAGCUGAGACAGCCACGUUAGGAAGGGCGGAAAAGACAAACACCUAAAUUUUCCUUCCUUCUUCAAACAGAGAAUUUACAAGGAUCGUGGCCCUAUAGUACUUGCGUAAAGUCGGAAAUAAGGACAUGACAUGGUUCGCCGUAAUAGAGGAUGGGCAAAGUAAGAGAAGCCAGAAGUCAUGCCACACAAAAGAUGGCUGACAACUUCCUCGGCCGACUUCUCGCGUGAAGGGAAAUUCGGACGUGGGGGCCUGAUAUUGGAUUUAGGUGUAAGCGGUUUGCCUGCGGCGAGAAAUGUCUUCAAACUUUCUGCUCUCAAAAGACUAUACUUCCUGGGUGUAAAAGUUGAGACUUGGUCCCGUGCAGUGAGAGGGCAUUGAGAAAAGGCGCUUCCGACUUUGGACUUGAAGGUUGGAGCAGGCAAAGAUGAGGCCAGCUGUGGUGUGAGGCCCUGCGACCCACGGGUAAAGCACGGAGCGCUCAGGCUGUGGGUCGUGUUGCGAAUCCGGCGGUAGCGUGGGUUCGAGUCCUGGGAAGUCCUGGAGUUAGGGACAGGGUUAUAAAACAAACCAACAGAAACUGGCCUCAUCGCCCGCAUCCUCUUGUCACACAGCCUUCCCAGCUUUCCGAAGCGAGGCACGCUCCGCCUCACCUGGUCUAGAUUGUAGAAUGCAGACCUCCCAGAUGUCCGCAAGGCUGGCUCCGUCACCUCCUUCAGCUGUUUACUCUGAUGCCAGCGACUCAGAGCAUCCUACAUGUUUCGAGUUGCAACUUCCCGCCCCAGCUCCCUGUGCCGCGUUUUACUUUGCCUUCAUUCUUUGCACUAUCACCAAGAGGUGAGACCGUCAUGGAACUAAAGCUUAAACUUUAGGGCCUCUCGAUUCCCCGGGGUUCUUCCAUGGCUCAAGGAGGGCCCCCAGCUACGUGCUUGCAUGGUCUUAUGUUUUUGUAAACUUUGCAAAAGUAAUAUUUUUACUGCAGUCGCUUAAAACCACUUUCUACUCCGAUUUCCCCGGUCAUACUGCCCCUUGUGUUUAAUGGCGUUUGGGAUCCAGCUAGAGGAAAUCCAGUUGGGAACAUUUGAGUUUAGUAGAAUAUGUUUAUGUGAUACUGUUCCACGUAUAGUUGUUAUCACUGGCCUUCCUAGUGUAAGCUGUACCUGCCAUCCCCUGUGAUCAGUGAGUGUCCUCAAUGAAAGGAGUAUUUAAGGUUAAUCAGGGUACUAGAAAGCUUGAAAUUUUAUAGUUAUAUAGGACAAAAAUUUCAUACAGGUUGUCCCCAACUUUGACAACAAUUCUCAAAAUAUUCAUGACAUUACUAAAAAGGAAUUGUAAAACUGGAAGAAGUUUUUCUAAAUUAUUAAUAAAAAAUUUUGAUGGAACAUGCUAGAGGAUAGACUAAAUUAUCUUUCCAUUCUCAUUAUGAUACGAAAUUGUGGUCAUAUAAAGAGGCGACCAAAGCAUAGUCAGCCUGCCAACACAAAUAAUCCAUAAUCAAUCUAUAAAUCAAAAUUGGGGUGAGUUUAUUAUGAGCCGGGUUUGAGGACUGUAGCCCAGGGCCUGCCUUCCCCAAGCAUGGAAGGACACAAAAGUGGGGUGAACAGAGUGGUUAUAUACCGUCUUGGAACAAAGAGCAUACAUCACAUAUGAUAGGAACGUCCCUUUUACAAUAGUCACAAGAUUGCUUUGCUGGCACAGCAGGUCAGUGGUCACAAGGUGAGCACAGCAGGUCGGUAAUUCUUGUUUCUAGGAAGAGAUGCUUAUCCUUAAGGAAAUGAUAUGGGGGAAGAUACAUCCCUAUCUUUAAGGGCAUCAUUCUUGUCUUUGGGACAUUGUAAAUGAUUAAAGUAGAUGUACAAUGCAUGCUCAAGAGGCCAUGACAGGCCCUUUUGGAAAAACAAGGUCAGGCCGAAUUAGUUUUUUUUUUUUUUUUAAAGAUUUUAUUUGUUUAUUUUUUCCCCCCAAAGCCCCAGUAGAUAGUUGUAUGUCAUAGCUGCACAUCCUUCUAGUUGCUGUAUGUGGGACACGGCCUCAGCAUGGCCGGAGAAGCGGUGCGUCGGUGCGCGCCUGGGAUCCGAACCCGGGCCGCCAGCAGCGGAGCGCGCGCACUCAACCGCUAAGCCACGGGGCCGGCCCCCGAAUUAGUUUUAAACCAAAUGGUUUCCUCAUACACUCCAAUAUAUCCUGUUGCUUUUCAUGCUUUUCCUGUUGCUUUUUUCAGCCUAAAAUAGAAAACAUCUUAUGGAGGUGUUUAAGAAAAUUAACAAAUAUGUUACUUUUCUGGAUUUUGUGAUGUUUGUAUUAUUUGUCAGCUUUUUAAAAUGACAAAUUGCAAUUUGUGAUUGCAUGAUUUCUCCCACAAUUUGUGUUGUGAUUCCUUGUUCUAAAUAAAUAUUCUCUUUCCUACCUA